rnacentral:misc_RNA from 1 species
UUUCCGUAGGUGAACCUGCGGAAGGAUCAUUAUUGUGUAACCGAGGUGCGAGGGCUGUCGCUGACCCGAAAGGUCGUGCACGCCCGACUGCCCUCACACACAUCCAUCUCACCCCUAUGUGCACCACCCCGUUGGUCUCCCUCUGGCUCUGUCGGAGGGGGGCUUACGUUUUCACACAAAAUUUUAAUGCAGUGUAGAAUGUAUUUUUUGUGAUUGCAAUCACACAAUUAAUACAACUUUCAACAACGGAUCUCUUGGCUCUC